rnacentral:rRNA from 1 species
UUAAUUGAAGAGUUUGAUCAUGGCUCAGAUUGAACGCUGGCGGCAGGCCUAACACAUGCAAGUCGAGCGGUAACAGAAAGUAGCUUGCUACUUUGCUGACGAGCGGCGGACGGGUGAGUAAUGCUUGGGAACAUGCCUUGAGGUGGGGGACAACAGUUGGAAACGACUGCUAAUACCGCAUAAUGUCUACGGACCAAAGGGGGCUU